rnacentral:snRNA from 1 species
AUGCUCUGGUUUCUCUUCAGAUCGUAUAAAUCUUUCGCCUUUUACUAAAGAUUUCCGUGGAGAGGAACAAACCUGAGUGUUCACUAAUUUUUUGUGGCCUUGCAUUUUGCAAGGCU